rnacentral:lncRNA from 1 species
GGCUAAGAGCGGACACUCCGAGAAAUCUGGCCUCAGGAACUACGUCAUGGCUACGUAACGAACUAGUGCUCUCACCAAACGCCAGAGGACGCAGGCGCAAAAAAAAAGAAAAUGUUGUAAUGAAUUCUCCUCAAUCGCUUUACAAAAUAAUAAUUAUACACCCAAAUUUGGCGUGUUUCUGAUACAUAAAAACAGAAUUUAUCGAAGGCACCUUCCGUGCUUUUUGUUCUUCAUUCGUACUGCCAUCAACACCAAUCACAUUUCGUCCAUCGAGAAGAAAUCAACGACACCAGCGGCGUGCCAGCGGGAACGUCUCGUGAACGUCGGCUGCGGCGGUGUUCUUGUGUGUGAGAAAGACCGUGCUGAUGCCAUGCCGUCCGGCGGUCCAAGCUACGGCAGCUACUGCUGUGUCGUGGUGCUUUGACAACGGCAGAACCCAGAAGAAGCCUAUCUUGACUUGGAAUAAAAACAUUGCG